CCAUUUCUUCAACCCGAUCACUCGAAAAGGCGACCCGGCCGUAUCUCCACCUUCCGGUCGAUUCACGGUGUCGCACGGAUGGCGUUCUCCUCAACUCGAUGGCGAGAAGCUGAAAGUGGACUUGGCUUGCUCAACCAAAUCGUCACUAUAGCAAAACGAAUCCCGAAAGCUACGGCUGUUUCGAUGCAUUCUCCGGCGACUCCGGUCACCGACGAUAGCAACUGAGAAUUGGUUGAGUUGGUGAGAUGAAGUGAGCUAUCUCUGUAAAUGGAAUGGUUGACGUGCUUCAGAAUAUAGUUCUCGUUGUUUCCAGAUCGACUUUAAGAGCAUGGACUUGGCGGAAUGGAACUACAAUGAAGACCGGGAUUUCAUAAUUAUUAGCAUGUAUCAUUGAAGAUUGGAGACUGAGGAGAAGCAAGUGGUCAGACUAAGGUUGUGGUGGAAGCUCUGUCAUUUGGACAAGAAUUGAAGCUGUGAAGAACAAUGACAACGUGCAUGCAUGUACCUUGGACCAAGAACCCAGCUGAAUAAAGAGACAAAAUUGGUCAAAAUUUUAGGUAAGGGACUCCAAUAUUUACUCGGAAUGUGAAAGGUGGUGGUGUUGGCCUAAGAAAAAGAAUGGAGUCAAAGUUGCUAUAUUCCAGAUUUGGAUGCAGGUACUGUGCAGGUAAA